rfam:Schistosoma mattheei strain Denwood, Zambia genome assembly, scaffold: SMTD_scaffold0020813
AUCCAGCUGACGAGUCCCAAAUAGGACGAAACGUGCGUCAAGCUAGAU